GCAAAAAAAAUAAUUACUAUUGAUAACUGAUAUUUAUCAGUGCACUGCUCAAUACGUCCUAUAUGGGUAAUUUAAUUAAAAAUGACAAAUGUUAACUGGCUGUUCCAGAACAAAUAGGAUAUUGCCUAACACAGAGCUGAAAAAAAAAGGUAAUGCAAAAAUCCCAAUUGCAAAAUCACACGGAGGACAUUUUAGAAAAUAUGACCUCAACAUGAGUCAAUUCAGGGCCUUGAUUGGAGUUUUUGUAGGAACAACAGAUUAGAUACAGCCCAAUGUAUUGGCCAGCUAACUCCUCAAAGAGAUCUAUUUAUGGCACACUGCCCUGGCACUUGGCACCAAGAAACAAGCAGAGACCCAAAACGACCAGGGCAAAAUUCACUCAAAGAAAACCCUCUCUUUCUGUUUCUUUUCGUGUUCCCAGUCCAAAGAGAGAGGCUGCUUUACCUUGUAGUGAUGGCAAUGGCGAAGCUUGUUUGUGUCUUGCUUCUUGCUAUCCUUGGCAUUUCCAUGGCUGCAACCCAGGUAAAGUUCACGUUGCCUUUUAUGCACAAUCUGGAAUCUCCAUUGCUCCGACCAUGUCCUCAAUAAACGAACAAAAUUUUCUUGAACAUUCUUGCAGGUUAUGGCAAAAGAUACUCAGUACCAUCUUGACAGGGUAAGUAUUUUCAAUUUCCUCUUUCUUUUCGCAUCUCUUUCAAAAUUUAUGGGUUAUCAAAUAAAAGUCCUCCAAUUAACAGUAUGACAAAAUUUUAUAAUUUUCAGGGGAAUUAUGGA
rnacentral:misc_RNA from 1 species